GCAGUGAGUGACUCAGUGAGAGACAAGCUGCAAAGUAAAAUGGGAAGAAAUAGACCUUAGGCCCCGAGACCAGGGUGGCAAUCACACUAAGAUAUUUAGCCACAGGAAAAAUGCAACAGUGCAGUUGUGAUGAUUUCGGAACAACACAGCCUACUAUCAGCCGUGCAAUCUCACAGACAAUAGAUGCACCGGCCGAUCCGGAAGUACUCUGCCAGUUUGUGGAAUUUCCUCACACUCAACGUGAAGUGCAGCAAAGACAGGCGGAGUUUACGCAGGCAACCCAGUUUUCCGGUGGUGUGGGAGUGAUUGAUGGUACUCAUAUAAGAACUGUGGUUCCUCAUGUCAAUAAGCAUUUAUAUGUGAACAGAAAACGUCAUCAUACCAUAAAUGUGCAGGUAGUGUUUGAUGUUCAUUACAGAAUUCUUGACAUUGUGUCAAGGUGGCCUGGCUCAGUCCAUGAUGCAAGAAUAUUGGAUGAGUCAGGACUAAAAUUCAUGUUUGAGGAAAAACAUGUACCUGCAGGAUGCUACCUCCUUGGGGACAGUGGUUAUCCCUGCCAGCACUGGCUCCUGACCCCAUCCAUACCUGAACCCUCCAACUGCUGCACAGACCAAUUAUAACAGAGUUCAUAGGAAGGCACGCAGCAUUGUGGAACGAGGCAUUGGACAACUUAACCCGGUAGCAGCGGAGAUCAUGUUUCUUAAUGGUCCCUCCAAGCGAGAAAAAUGAGAAAAAAUCACCCCUCACACAAACCAUUUCAUAAUAUAUAUCAAAGCAUUUGUAAUCAGAUUACGUAUCAUCUAUUUUGGGGGGUUUAAAUCAUGGCAGAAAUUUGGCCCGUCGCUGCUACACGGUAAAGCCACAAAUUUGGCCCAUUGCUACUACCAGGUUAAAAGAAGAUAUCAUGUCUUGCGUAGUGAAGUGCAUCUCAGCCCAGAAAAGACGUGCAAGAUGAUAAAUGUCUGUACAGUGCUUCACAUUUGUGAGGCUUGGAACAUCCCUGUGCCUGACGACAAUGUUGAGGAUGCGAUGGAAGAAGCAGGUGAAGCAGAUCAGGGUGCACAGUUGCAUCUAGAUCCAGCCAUUCCUGCUGCCCACAAUGCACACCCAUUCUGGGAUUAUAUUGCCAAACUUCAUUUCAAUGAGGAGUGAAAUCUUCACGUUACCUGUCAACCCUGUCAUUCCAACAUCACUUGUAUCUUCAUGUGGAGCAUGUGGACAACAAGCCUCUCUUUUUAUCUUCUAUCGAUAUUUCCACGCUGACUGCUCUUCUGAACUUGCUAACUGCAUGCUUCCCCAACUCCCGCAGCCUCGCCACACACGACUUUCUACUCAAGCUCAUCCCUUUACUGUCCAAAUCCCUUAUGCAAGAGUUAACCAGCAUCUUCACUCUUUCAUCCCUCACGCUGGUAAACUCUGGAACAAUCUUCCUUCAUCUGUAUUUCCUCCUGCCUACGACUUGAACUUUUUCAAAAGGAGGGUAUCAGGACACCUCUCCUCCUGAAACUGACCUAGCUUUCGGCCACUCCUCUAACUCUUUAUAGGAGCAGUGAGCAGCGAGCUUUUUUUCCACAUUUGUUACCUUUUCUUUAUGCCCUUGAAUGGACUCCUCUGCUGUAAAAAAAAAAAAAAAAA